GAAGUGAGUGGUUUGUGACGCACAAGAGCAACCGUGGGUUAAUGCUCAAUCUGAUUGAAUCAAGCCUCUAAUUUUAGAAGAAGAUAAAAAGGUCUGGAGUACAGCAGUCUAUAUGGAAACUAGUGAUGCGUUGCCACUAGUGAUGCAUUUUUUUUUCAUGGGUGGAGUUGCCUGGCAGCAGACUGGGAUGUGGGUGAAGAAAGCAGGUACUAGUUGCAGCAGACUUGGCACUGGAGGAAGCAGGUUAGACUUUAGUGGGAGCAGCCUGGGUGGGGCACGCAGCAGGUUAGACUGUAGUGGGAGCAGCCUGGGUGGGGCACGCAGCAGGUUAGACUGUAGUGGGAGCAGCCUGGGUGGGGCACGCAGCAGGUUAGACUGUAGUGGGAGCAGCCUGGGUGGGGCAUGCAGCAGGUUAGACUGUAGUGGGAGGAGCCUGGGUGGGGCACGCAGCAGGUUAGACUGUAGUGGGAGGAGCCUGGGUGGGGCACGCAGCAGGUUGGACUGUAGUGGGAGCAGCCUGGGUGGGGCACGCAGCAGGUUAGACUGUAGUGGGAGGAGCCUGGGUGGGGCACGCAGCAGGUUAGACUGUAGUGGGAGGAGCCUGGGUGGGGCACGCAGCAGGUUGGACUGUAGUGGGAGCAGCCUGGGUGGGGCACGCAGCAGGUUAGACUGUAGUGGGAGGAGCCUGGUGGGGCUGGCAUCAGAGAAGUCAGUAGUGGUGGUGGUGAAGUCAUCCAGAACACUACCAACUGUGGGGUCCAUUGCAUAGUCCUCAAAAUCAGUCUCCUCCGACUCAGGGCCCAUAGCCUGCAUGGCCUUCCCAGUCUGCCUGAGCAGGUAGUCCACACACCAAUCAACUCUCCUGAAAAUGAAACAAGACAAAAAUGUAUAUGAAUAUGAAUAUGAUUACUCACAAUAUCUUCAUCAUAUCAAAACACUGAUUGUCACAUCUGCUCCCACUCCCCCUCUUUGGUGCUCGAGGUCACCAGUUCACUCAUUACGCACACCUGCCACCAUCGUUACACACACCUGCGCUUAAUUAUGGUACUCACCUGGACUCCAUCAUGUCAUUUACCUUCCCUAUAUCUGUCACUUCCUCAGUUUCAUUCCCGAGUCAGCAUUGAUAUAGUUAUGUUUCUCCUGUCCAGACGCUC
rnacentral:lncRNA from 1 species